CACUUUCUUUCCUAUUCCUUCUAAACCCUAGCUGACAACUUCAUCGUAUUCUUCGUUCUUCUUUGCCGAUCUGCCCUCUCAAUUCGAAAAUGAAGAUUAGCAUAAGUCUUGAUGUAAACUCAAUUCGAAGAUGCCUUCAUCGUAUUUCUGAUUGCUGUUGUUGUUUGUUGAUUUGAUUGAAGAAGAAUGAAGGUGUGUUUGUGUGACGGCUGAAUCUGAUGAAGGUGUGUUGUUGUUUGUUGAUUUGACAGUGGUCGGAGAUGAAGGGGAUUCAUCAAUCUUAAUCACAGCAAAUCUACAAAUGUGUUGGCACUUUUGGGAAAAGUAGCCACUUAUGCAUUGAAUCUAACUGGUUUCUUUUAUUGUCAAGCAAUCCCAAAUUCACUGUCCAAUGAGCCAUUAGACCUUUCGAGGGAUGACGAUGGUGACAUGUACAGUUUCCAGACAAAAAAUAAGAUGCUGACGUCAGUUUCAGGCCUCCUAAAUAUCAAACAGGGGUCUUAAAAACAAACUGCAUCGAUUGUUUGGAUCGUACAAAUGUUGCUCAGUUUGCAUACAGUUGGGCUGCACUUGGUCGCCAAUUGCAUACUAUAGGUUAUAUAGAUACCCCUGAUAUCGAACUAGAUUCCGCUUUAGCAGAUGAUUUAAUGAGAAUUUAUGAAAAAUGGGUGACACUCUAGCACUACAGUAUGGUGGUUCUGCAGCUCACAAUAAGUUUUUGUGUUUGCUUUUUUGUACAAAUAUGGUGGUGAAGCUUGAUAAUAUGCGCUUCGCUUUGAUCGUGUGAGUUUUAUCGUAUUUGUGAACCAUUUUACUUGCUAUGUGAUGAUUUUGAUCUGUUUGUAGAGGGUGAUUUUGGGAGGGAAUCAUUCUAAAUAUACGGAGGUCCAUGAUUUAAGGCAUAAAAGAUGUGGUUGUGGUGUUUGGGUUGGCUGCAGUGGCGAUGAAGAUUUCUUUCUGUAUGUAUACCUCUGCAUUUGUGUUAGCGAUGAAGAUUUCUUUCUAUCUACAUAUAAUGCUUCAGAGCAUAAUAAGUUAGCGGACUUUGUGUGAAAGUGGGUGCAUAUCUUGGCGGGGCAACCUGGAUUCUGAUGCAGCCAUGAUGGAGCCCCACCCACUUUGUUCUCUUUCAUAUGUGCAGAUCUGAGCCUAAAAAAACAAUUUUUUUGUCAAGUUUUAUUCUCAAUCACUACAUCAACCGCUAUAGUUUCUACUGAAAGUCGCGUACAACCAACCUCUGUUCAGGCGUGUUGUUUGAUUUACAGUUUUUGUGUUCGUUUUUUUAGAAAUAUAGUGAUGAAGCUUGAUAAUAUGCGCUUCGCUUUGAUCGUGUGAGUUUUAUCGUAUUUGUGAACCAUUUUACUUGCUAUGUGAUGAUUUUGAUCUGUUUGUAGAGGGUGAUUUUGGGAGGGAAUCAUUCUAAAUAUACGGAGGUCCAUGAUUUGUGUGAGUUUUAUGUUGUAAAGAUGAAGUUAGCGCAGAAUGCAUUCUGCUCAUGGGUGAGAGCGUACAACACGCAUCGCGGGGAGUUGAAGAGUAUAUUCAUGGUGAAAAAGCUUCAUUUGGGACACGUGGCGAAAAGUUUUGCACUAAAGGAGCAGCCGUCACUGGUGGGGAGAUGGGUUUAGAAGAAGCACACAGAAAAGAGGAAAAGAACAUAGGAAAGUAAAAGGUUUGAAAAAGAAGAGAAAGAUGGCAAACCUGGAGGAGGGAGAUUGAGUUAGCAAAUGAACGGUGAAAGAUGAUUGAUGGUGAAGGUGCAAAUUGCAAGCAAGCAGCUGGCUGGAAGAAGAAUAGAAUGAAUGGUUUGACAACCACCAAAACAAAUGGGUUUUGGCCUCUUUAAAACGAGUCAACGUGAAUCACAAAUUGCUAUAUGGUGAUAUUAAUUUAGAUUCUCAGCCCCAACAUAAUCCCAACAGCAAGUGGUAUAUCAGCCUUGAGGUAUGUUAUUUUGCUCAUAUUAGUCAUUAUUAAAACUUAAAUUAUGAUCCAUUCUUAUAUAAACCGGUUUAUUUGGAUUAACUUAUAUUAUACAAUGAGUCAAAAAGGGUUACUCUUGAACUAACUUAGAACGGGUCAAAAUGGACCACCAUCGGUACCCAGUGCCAAUGUGUGUUGCUACUUGCUGUCGCCUACCAGUCACUGACUCACCAUUGACAAGAACCAUGACCGUUUUGACAUGUUAUGAUUUUAUGUUAUAAUGUUUAUCCUCUUUUUGUUAAGAAUGGCCUGAAGAAAAACACCCUCAAUGGGCUUACGGGGUGGGUUAUGCUGUGAACCAUGACAUUGCAAAGGCGAUUAACAAUAACACAAAAGGGUGACCUAUAGGCUUUAAGCUGGAUGAUGUGAUAAUGGGAAUCUGGACUGCGAAUUUACAAAAGAAUUGUUUAGAAGUAUGAUAUGAAAAAGAACAAGUGUAUAAUGGGGUAUGCAGUUGCACACUAUUAAGGACCUCGAUAAAUGUUGUGUGCAUGGCAAAAGCUUCAAGUAGAUAACCAAGCUUUUUGUUGUGGGAACUAAUAGAUUCUUAAUAAUAACACGAGUGUUGUGUU